rnacentral:rRNA from 1 species
ACUCCCCUUCCUCUCCUUUUUCCCGCCCAAGCGGCGGAACAUGUGGUUUAAUUCGAUGAUACGCGAGGAACCUUACCCGGGCUCGAACGGUGCAUGAAUGUUCAAGAGAUUGGAUAGUCCUUCGGGACAUGUAUCGAGGUGCUGCAUGGUUGUCGUCAGCUCGUGCCGUGAGGUGUCGGCUUAAGUGCCAUAACGAGCGCAACCCUUGUCAUUAGUUACCAUCAGGCAAAGCUGGGGACUCUAAUGAGACUGCCACCGUAAGGUGUGAGGAAGGGGGGGAUGACGUCAAAUCAGCACGGCCCUUAUGUCCGGGGCGACACACGUGUUACAAUGGGGGGUACAGAGGGCAGCCAUCCGGUGACGGAGCGCUAAUCUCCAAAACCCUUCUCAGUUCGGAUUGGAGUCUGCAACCCGACUCCAUGAAGUUGGAUUCGCUAGUAAUCGCGCAUCAGCCAUGGCGCGGUGAAUACGUUCCCGGGCCUUGCACACACCGCCCGU